rnacentral:lncRNA from 1 species
GACCACAUAAAAAAUAAAUAGCAUACGGGUGAAAAAAUUACGUAUUAAAGUUUUACGUAUGGGUGCGGAUACUUUAUAUCAAUAACCGACUCGGAUCAUAUUCGAAUCGGACCUUUUAAUGGGUAGGGUAUGGAAGAAUUUUCAAAUCCAGACCCGAAUUUGGAUCCGGACUUGGACCCACUGAGAUACUCAAUAGUAAAUAAAAAAUUUGACGUUGAGAGAUCAAUUUCGAAAGACAUAUAGAUAAAGGGUCUCUCUGUAUAUUUGCAUCUUAGUGAAACUCUAGUGGCUCUGUUUACUUUUUUUUAUUUUUUUAUUUUACUUAUUAUUUUUUUAACUCUAAUCUUUUUAUUUACUGUUUGAAUCUUUCUUUUCAAGAAAUUUUAUUCG